CGUCCCUCUGGCAGAAGGAACACAUGGACCUAUUAACAUACACCUACCUGAGCUGCUUCGGCUCCCUCAGUCCCUGUUCACCAGUACCUGUACAUUUCAAAGCCCCUACCUGGGGUUUCCUGGCCCUUGCCACCAACCAGCUACAGCUACCCUCUCUAGUCCUCCUCCUCCCUCUCAGGAUGUUCCGUUCUCCAUCUCUCCCUAUCUCCCCAUCUCCACCAUUCUCUUCUGCUCUCCCGUUUCCCUAGCCCUGGGGCCACAUCCACUUUGCUGGCCCUGAUCGGUCUACUUCUUCCUCUCUCUGCUCUGGAUCCAAAUGCUCCUGGCUGUUCUCUCCUUAACCAUCGCUGCUCGGUCCUGCCGGCAGGACCCUGCGUUGCUGCGAUUGGAGGCAGACACUACUGCACCUGACGUACUUCGGUGCUGCGGAUGGAACCUGGGCAACCGACUCACAGCAUCCCCUGGCCGGACACUCUACUGUGGUGGACCGCAGAGGGAGUCCACGUCCUUCCAUCGUGGUAGCAAAAGAUCCCUGGCGUGCGGCCGCUCCUGCCACCCGUGGGAGCCCGAAGCAUCUGGAAACUGAGGCCCAAGGUCACACAGGUAGACACUGAAGAGAGUGACAUCGGCUGCUGCCAGAGUCCUCCAGCGUGACCAGCCGAGCAGAGGGCGCACUCCCUUCCCGGAGACCCGAGGCGGGCGUCACUGCGGCCACAAGGGAGUGAGGGAAG